UUUUUUUCCAUGAUUGACUAAUGCAGUUUUUCCACCUAAGGUUAAGAGGAGAUGGAUGACUGAGCUAGCACAUGUUAAAUGUCCAAGAGAUAGGUGCUGUUAAGGAUUGCCUUGAUGCAUCAAAUUCAUUCUUGGCAUUUCCUGAAAGAAACCUGGACAAAUAUUAAAUGGAUUCCAGACAUGCCACCUGACUACAGAAUUGUAAGGCAGGGCAAUAUUGUAAGCAGGGAGAUCAUACUCCUUUCUGUGACGUUUAGAUGGGCUAACUCCCAGAGUUACAUAAGUUAAUGUUCGUGCAUUCUCAUUUUAAACUUUUUUUUAAAAUGUAUUUAUUUUAUUUUAGAUCAUAUGUACUUAUAUCUGUAAAUUGUAUUGGGCGUAGACAUUUUGAAUACUAUGUACACUUUACUGCUGUCAUGCAAAUUUACACAUUAUCAUUUUCCAAAUUUUAUCCUGAAAGUGUUAUCAAAUAGGAAAGGUGAGGUUACAUAGACUCCAAAGGGACUUCACGUGUCUUCUUCCUGAAAGUAAAUGUCAAGUGGAAGAGAUGAGGUCGUAUGGACUUUUUCUUUUUUUUUUGAGUUUAUUUAAGAAUUUGUUGAGGAGUUAGCUUUUGAGUUAAGAAAGGAAUCAUACAAAAUGUAAUAAUUUUUUUGUUUAUUGAAGUAAAAAUAAUCUACUCGUAUUUCAAGUGUGGUUGAUUCUUUUUACAAACAGUGGGAAUUACCUGCGCCAAGAACAUUGUGAUAUAAUGGAAUUUGACCAAAACCUUCUCACAAGUAGGACUUGUCCACUCAGUAUGCUGACCACUUCAUUGACAUCUCAUUCUGUGGCCAUGUAUAAUUGUAAUCGUCAGUAUUAGAAUGUGGCAUUAGAAAACAUGCUUGAUUUUUCAUGAGUAGACCCUGGGGAGCUGUAUAAUUAACGUCCACCUUCAACCCCCUUAAAAAAAUAAAAAUAAAAGUAUAAAAGAAAAACUAUAUAUUUCUUAAUAGAUUUUCAGCUUAAUCAGCAGUAUUAACUAAACUGGGAUUUUUGGGGAAUGAACCAAAGACUUGGUUGAUCAAAAUUGGUCACAUACCCAACUCCAUUACAGUAUGUCCCCAGUCCAUCUAUCAUAGCCUAAAAUGGUAAGUUAUGGGUUUAGUGUAUACUACCAAGAGGAAUGCAUCCGAGUAAUCGUUAGAGCUUGGUUAGCUCAGAUUCACCAUAAUUAAUAACAUCUCACUGGGGUUAUAUGUCAAGAAAGAUCGGUUUUAGGGCAGAGCUAUGAAAGUGGAGCAGUCACCGUGGAAACCAAUGGAGUGUUCCGGCUGAUUGUUCCACAACUAGACUGAUUUCCAUGGAAACCAGAAUAUUCUCCCCACUGAUUUUAAAAAAAACAACCCUUAUAUAUUUGGAUUCCUUUUGAUUCUCUAAUUCUGGUUUUGUCUCCACAAGGAAUAAUUGACCAAGCCAAGAUUAGAACACAUUACGUAUUUUAAAUUGUACAUAUUAAUCUGUGAUCUUGUAGCCUUUUUACUGGCUUUUUUUUUUGUAUUUGUGUAUGUUUAAGGGAAACUUGGGUCACAUCCAGAAGUAUGUAAAAAUAUUUAUUUUUUUAUGUUCUUUUUUUUUUUUUGCGUGGUAUCUUAUUUUAAUUGUUAAAGUCACAUGUUCCUAAUAAUAUAACUGAUAAAUAAACAUAAUUGCUUUUGUAUGUUCCAAGUCAAUGUUCCCCCUAAGCCAGAGAUAGGCAACCUCCAACAUUCCAGAUGCUGAGGACUAGACCUCCCUUGAUGCUUUGCAUUAUGGGAGAUGUAGUUCAAAAACAUCUGGAGUGCCGAAAAUUGUCUACCUCUGCCCUAAGCCAUUUUCGAGUGGUCCAGUACUAAAGCAUUAUGAAAAUAAAUCACUAAAACAACCACAAGUUUUAGUUAGCAUUUGAUACUUCCAGUUACUAUGCAAAUUGUGCAUUGUUAUAAAGAUGAUUCUUAUCUUUUUCCGUGCUGGGCCAAUCACAAGAAAAUUGCUUAAAGGGAAUAUUUCAGUACACGCCAUAUGUUUCCUGAUGUUUUGGAAACAACAAGAAUUUGCCUCUGAAACACAAACUGCAGUACAGAAGCAUUUGCAAACUAAGCCAAAUAUUUUUAUCAGAUUUUUUUUUUAUGUGUUAACUGUGAUAAUAGAUAUUUUCUGAAUUGAGUUUUCACUAAAAUCAUUUUGUAUUGACCAA
rnacentral:lncRNA from 1 species